rnacentral:rRNA from 1 species
GGGGAAUAUUGCACAAUGGGGGAAACCCUGAUGCAGCGACGCCGCGUGAGCGAAGAAGUAUCUCGGUAUGUAAAGCUCUAUCAGCAGGGAAGAAAAAAAUGACGGUACCUGACUAAGAAGCCCCGGCUAACUACGUGCCAGCAGCCGCGGUAAUACGUAGGGGGCAAGCGUUAUCCGGAUUUACUGGGUGUAAAGGGAGCGCAGGCGGUACGGCAAGUCUGAUGUGAAAGCCCGGGGCUCAACCCCGGUACUGCAUUGGAAACUGUCGGACUAGAGUGUCGGAGGGGUAAGUGGAAUUCCUAGUGUAGCGGUGAAAUGCGUAGAUAUUAGGAGGAACACCAGUGGCGAAGGCGGCUUACUGGACGAUUACUGACGCUGAGGCUCGAAAGCGUGGGGAGCAAACAGG